rnacentral:rRNA from 1 species
GGAGCGAACGCUGGCGGUAGGCCAAACACAUGCAAGUCGAACGGCGGCACAGUGGUAGCAAUACCAUGGGUGGCGAGUGGCGGACGGGUGAGGAAUACAUCGGAAUCUACCUUUUCGUGGGGGAUAACGUAGGGAAACUUACGCUAAUACCGCAUACGCCCUUCGGGGGAAAGCCGGGGAUCGCAAGACCUGGCGCGGAUAGAUGAGCCGAUGUCGGAUUAGCUAGUUGGUGAGGUAAUGGCUCACCAAGGCGACGAUCCGUAGCUGGUCUGAGAGGAUGAUCAGCCACACUGGAACUGAGACACGGUCCAGACUCCUACGGGAGGCAGCAGUGGGGAAUAUGGACAAGUGGGCGCAAGCCUAGAUCCAGCCAUACCGCGUGGGUGAAGAGGCUUCGGUGUAAGCCUUUGUAGGAAGAAAGACAAUCGUAAUACCGGUUGUUCUAGACGUAACCAAG